GAUGAACGCUGGCGGCGUGCCUAAUACAUGCAAGUCGAGCGAACAGACGAGGAGCUUGCUCCUCUGACGUUAGCGGCGGACGGGUGAGUAACACGUGGAUAACCUACCUAUAAGACUGGGAUAACUUCGGGAAACCGGCGCUAAUACCGGAUAAUAUAUUGAACCGCAUGGUUCAAUAGUGAAAGACGGUUUUGCUGUCACUUAUAGAUGGAUCCGCGCCGCAUUAGCUAGUUGGUAAGUUAACGGCUUACCACGGCAACGAUGCGUAGCCGACCUGAGAGAGUGAUCGGCCACACGGGAGCGGAGACACGGACCAGACGCCUACGGGAGGCAGCAGUAGGGAAUCUUCCGCAAUGGGCGAGAGCCUGACGGAGCAACGGCGCGUGAGUGAUGAAGGUCUUCGGAUCGUAAAACUCUGUUAUUAGGGAAGAACAAAUGUGUAAGUAACUAUGCACGGCUUGACGGUACCUAGUCAGAAAGCCACGGCUAACUACGUG
rnacentral:rRNA from 1 species